ensembl:snoRNA
GUGUAGCACAUUGGACAGGCGCUCUGCUCCUCUUUAAAGCGCAUGGAUUUAUCCACAUUCUACGACAUGAAUGAAAUGAGUCUCAGGGCUGCCAACUCUCUGGGUAGGGUUCUGCAGUAGUACGUUUAUUCUACAAUA